rnacentral:lncRNA from 1 species
UAUAAUGGCUGGGUAGGAGACGUGCUUUUUCCCCUGCCUUUCCUGACAGUAAAAUGGCAAGGAAAAUGCAGCAACAAAGAAUUCUAUGCAUAGGACAGUCGUCCAGAACUGAAGUGCUUUUUCUCCCGGCAGGGUGAGAGCUUGGCCCAGCAAUGAAGUUGGAAGCAAUGUAACCCGGUUCCGCCUUUAAAUGCUGCAGAAGGCAAUAUGGACAUCUGAGCUGCAGAUAAACUUGCAAGGAAAACUGCAUACAUGACCUGCAGUACAGCUAUUUCCAACGCUCGGCUCCUCGGGAAGAGGAGCUGUGCCAACUCUGCCCAGCAGCACAGAGCACAGCCUCCUUGAUUUCAGCGCAUCCGAGAUCCUCUCCUCGGGGAUCAGGUGUCCAUAACUCCACGGCUGCAGUUCAUUCUCUUGAGCCUCCGAUACCUGCAAAAGCUGCUUUUAUGUUUCCUUAGGACAAAAUGAAGGCAGGAUCCAAAAAAAAGACUCCGAGGUCGAAAAAAAACACUCACUGCCAUAUGUUUGUGCUGUUGGCAUCACCGCAGUGAUCCAGGUGCUCGUGUGCUGAGAACCUCUGCACUGCCUGCGCUGACAUCCUGGAUUGCUGCAGAGACACAGGUACAGGUGGGAUCAGUGACACCAGUGCUGCAGUCUGUGUGCAGUGAGGCACAGCUCCCAGCCCUGCUGGCACUGCUCACCGCUCGCCAAUAGCACAGGAGGUGAUCUGAAAACUGAGAACGUUUAGGGCUACUAAACCUCACCCUGUGACCCUGUGUGUUGUGAACGACCUCACUGGUUUCUUUUUACUCACGUCCUAGCGGAGGCAUGGGAUCUGUUUCCCUCAGUACUGUUUUGUUUCAGUUUUUUUCCCUUAAAUGGCCACAGCCUUGUUACUGCUGAGCCUCAGAAGACAAUCAUGCCUGCAGUAUUUUCAUCCUGUCAGCUGGUGCUGGAUUUCAAAACAGGAUGCCCACUUUUCCCCCCAUUAUUCACAGCAGUGAGAUGCAGAAUCCUGAGCUUUUGUUUUCAGUUGGUUACACGGGUCCAACCUGUGAUUCACUCUUCCUGCAGCCACGUUUCCAGGAAAAGACAAUGCCGUGGCUCCUCUCCAAGUCACCCGCAGGCUGCCGGAGGCUCAGGCAGGAGAGCGCUCCUGUGCCUGCAGCCGGGACACUUUCUAAGAAGGGCUGAAGGGACGAGGCCUCAGGCCAGGGCUGCCGUUAUCUCCCAGCAAACAACCAAGGAGGCACACGGCCUUGGGAAAGCACAUGAGGCACAGAGUCAAGGUGCAGAUAAGAGCAGAAUGUACAGGAUUUAAAAUUCUCGCCCCUGUGAAGCACAACAAGCAUCUGCAAAGAGCUGGUCUCUGCUCCUGGCACUGAGGCUGGCUGCCAAGCUGAUGGCUUAAGGACCUGCACUGUCCUUCCAGACAUUCAGGGAGACUCCUGGCUGCUCCAUGCCGUUGGUGUGGGCUAUAAUGCCUACAGAUAUUGGAGGUUCCCAAGAGUUGUUCAGACAGCAGCUGGUAGUGAUGGCUUCUGGCUCCGCAAUCAGGGAUAAAGCUUCUCAUGGCUCUGUAUGGUGGAGCCUGGGCUGGAGAGCUGUGUGGCUGUGCGCUCCAGCACUUGGCUUCUGCAGGAGUCAAACACAAAUGCAAGUGGAUCUGCUGGCACGGAACCGCUGUGGGGAAGGCCUGGGCUGGGCAGCUCUCGUCUGCAAACAGUGCCAGCAGGCAGCGACUCAUGUGUGGGGCAAACAGGCCAAGUGCAGAGCAGAACCACCCGGAGCAGAACUGGGUGGGCUCCAGUAAGCGGCCCUUUGGGCUCCCCGUGUGUGCAGCAAGAGGGAAUCCGGUGCUUUGUGUUUUCAGAAUAAACCACUGCUCCAUCCCCACGUUUGGGGAAUACGGGUUGCCGCUGUCACCGUGAUCUGCCUUCAUCCUGGAGCCCUGCCCGGCCCUGGGGCUGCUGGAAGCUCUCCUGGCGGCUACAGCCGCUCCCCCAGAGGGCUCCUGUUUGGGUUCGUUUCCCAGCUUGUG